UACGUAGGGGGCAAGCGUUGUUCGGAAUGACUGGGCGUAAAGGGUGUGUAGGUGGUUUGAUAAGUUAGAUGUGUAAUACCCAGGGCUUAACUCAGGUGCUGCUUCUAAAACUGCUAUACUUGAGUGCAGUAGAGGAAAGUGGAAUUCCUAGUGUAGCGGUGGAAUGCGUAGAUAUUAGGAGGAACAUCAGUGGCGAAGGCGACUUUCUGGACUGUAACUGACGCUGAGGCACGAAAGUGUGGGGAGCAAACAGG
rnacentral:rRNA from 1 species